rnacentral:lncRNA from 1 species
GUGAAAAUUCUCCAACGCUCAAGUCAGUUCUUAGCUCAACAGGUAGAGGAGCGAGUGAGGUAGAGUUUUGGACUCAGAGUACUGGAAUGUGCAUACCUCCUGAGGGUCUUCUCUUACCUUUAUUUUUAGAGAGAGCAGGAUGAAGGACGAAAGGAUAGGAAUAUAUUCGGAUAAUGUCCUGUCAUAUGGAGCCGCAUGGGAUCAUCUUUAAAUGGCCUCUUCAGCGGGCAUGUCUUUUGUCCGAUGCACUGAUGGUCGUGGUGGCGGGCCUUAUCGUGCGCACGUGGUAUAAUUAAUAACUUUAUGAUAUUCUAUCAUCGUACAGAGC